rnacentral:lncRNA from 1 species
UAGUUUGGAGACGAUUCCAAAUUUCCUAUCAACCAUCAAUCAAGCCUCUCAUCUAUGUUUAAUCCCAUACCACUUCACUUCUAAUCCUACAUCGUCUCUGCUGUUCUGCCUGUAGUCAAAUUAAACCGCUUCCCUCGACCAAGGAGUCGCCUGUUUCAAAACUAUAAGCUCGCCGACGAACUUCGUUUUACUUCUUCCCAUUAUCUGGGAAAUCCGGAGGUAACUGAGAGGCUUGACCUCAUAUCAUUUUGUUUUGGGUUUUGUACCAUUUCUUGACUGGGCUCUAAGCAUUCUUUUCCUUUAAUCCAAAAGCUUUUGACGGUGACGCUUCGACUGCAGCCAAAACUAUAUUCUAUCCUCCGGUCAUUCUUACUUUAUUAACGAACAUAACUUAUCCCUAGUUAACCCUCCCUUAUUAGUUGUUUGUUCCUAUAAACUUGUUGGAAGCCAUUCGACUAAGUCAUCGAUCUCCUUGACUUCCAGGGUUUCGGAUUGUUUCGAUGUAUGUCCAUUCUCGAGCUGGAAUUCCAAAGAAACCCAAGUUAAUCGAUUAUCACGUUUAGCCUUGAAAUCUGGUAAGGGAAUUGUUCCUAUGUAUUCUUUUUGUUUUCCUUGAGUUUCAUGGCAUAUUGUUGUUCGCUGGAAACUCGGUUCCCUUCGUUGGAAUUCUAGAAAUCCUCCAGGAUUAUUAGGGAAGAUGACCGGCGAAUGAUUUUGGAGAUAUAUGGACUUUCAGUGAUUGCGUUUCAGUCACUACACUUCCAAAAAUCAGAAUAAGUACCUCUUGUCUUAGUAAAUUUCCUGACGUAAUUGAACUAAUGAAAUCUACCACUUCAGUAAUUAACGUUUUCCUUGUAGCUGUCGCGGCCGCAAACUUCCUGGUCGUAGCAGUUUGGACCCAAAAUUAUUCUAGAAGUCUUUGAAGUCAUAGAAUUAGUUCUAAUCGGUUCUAUAAUGCUAGUAAAUUUAUUUGGAGCUCGUAACAUGACCCAUAUACUGAUAAAUAGAUUAAGUAAUAGUAGAUCUUCAAGAAUCGCAAUCAAAAGUAGAAUGGACUUCAAUCUCUUGUAUCUAUAGUUAAUUUAAUUAGAUCUCCCAUCCGAUCUCUCAUUUCCCAUUCAAAUUAACAUUUAUAGGGUACAACAAAUAAUACACUUCUUCAGGUUAUUAGUUAAUCUCUUUAGCUCUAAUUCUUUGACUCAAUCACUUCCUUCAUAUCACAUUAUUUGUGAAGAAAAUCUUCAAAUAAAGCCAAGCCGUUGACCAGACUAAUUCAACACAUGUUGGAGUCUAGUCUAAUAUCUAAAUCCUCAUCUUCACGUCAUCAAAUAUGUAUCGAUCUUUCAUCUUAGAUCUCAAUCCCUAGUGUUGGACCCUCUGCUCCCCUUUAUCAGGUGGGUUGGUUUAAAUGGGUAAAUUCUUAUAGUUGCUAUGUUUAAACGUAUGUCAUGUAUUACAUUUCGGUAUUACUUCACGUUAUGACUUGUAACUAUACAACUUCAUGUAGACCUAUAAUAGGUGCAAUAGUAACAUGUCUCUCUUUAGCUAGGCCACCACCCCAUGUCAUCUUGAUGUUUCGGUUUGGACCAGUUGAUGCCUGUCAUGUUAUGCUGUCUGAUGGAUACGUGGUCAUGUACGCUCAUGCUUACAUUUGGGCGAGAGCGUUAGUUAGUGGAGUUAAGGGGCCCCUAGAUGAAACUUUCAAGUGAAUCAUGUCAUGUACAUUAAUGUUAUGUUUCUAACUAUAAGGUCAUUAACGUUAAAUGCCUACUUUACAAGUACAUUGUUUGAGAACGGAAGACUAACCCUAAAUCACCCAUCAGGUCAUACUAGAGUAGAGGCACCUUGGAAGAAAUGAAGCAACUAUCAAUCAUGUCACAUGCCUCAGAGUGAGUGAUUAGAAAAUGAUGAGUAUGUUCUUUUUUUUUAGAGUUUAGACUUUAGACUUUUCUUCAAUUUUUUCCAUGUAUUUAGGGCUACUAUGUUGAAAUUACGUUUAAGCUAUAAUAAUUUAUUUUCGUUGACUUUGACCUUUAUCUUUAAUUAUGAAUCUUUUUU